rnacentral:rRNA from 1 species
CAGCCGCCGCGGUAAAACGAAGGUCCCGAGCGUUGUUCGGAAUCACUGGGCGUAAAGGGAGCGUAGGCGGCGUGGUAAGUCAGAUGUGAAAUCCCGGGGCUCAACCCCGGAACUGCAUCCGAUACUGCCAUGCUAGAGGAUUGGAGAGGUAGCUGGAAUUCUUGGUGUAGCAGUGAAAUGCGUGGAGAUCAAGAGGAACACUCGUGGCGAAAGCGAGCUACUGGACAAUAACUGACGCUGAGGCUCGAAGGCCAGGGUAGCGAAAGGGAUUAGAGACCCCCGUAGUCCCUGUCUCUUAUAA